AAUACUGACUGGGCCAAAAUAUUUCAUAUUGGUCCCCUUAAUGUUACAGCAAUUGCUGAGCACAGCUGAAGACUGUUUAAUGAAAGGCUCAGCGGUAUCAAAGUCCAGCAAUGUGCGGGGACACGGCCUAUCCAUAUCCGUAUAUUACAUCAUUUUAGCUGUCACUAACAUGGGAGAUAACUGUAGAUCUGCACCAGCACAACUGCUAAGCACAGAAGACAAAGGAGUAGUGAAAGGCUCAGCCAAAUCAAAGUCCAGCGAUGUGAGGGUGACACAGCCUUUCAAGUCGUCGUAUUGCAACAUGAAGGACAUUUUAGCUGAAACUAACUAGGGAGAGAACUGUAGAUCUGCACCAGCACAGAGCACCAGCAUUGAUAUCGAGUUGGCCCAGCAACCACACCAGUCCUGCCUGCAGAAGCCCCAGUCCAGAUUGACCCUCCCCCUCCAUUGACUUCUAACUCCUCCCCCUUGACCUCCUGCCUCAAAAAGUCAGCAUCGUUGAACAACUCUGUUCUGCAGGAGAUUCUUAGGGUGAUUCUGUUCUGACAAACGCAAUGCCCACGUCACGUUUUCCAAACAUAAGCCUGGGUAGUUUUGUUAAGCUAGAGUUCCGCGUGGGCCUGAAAGGGACGAGUGUUACAGACACGAAAAGUUAUAGCAGUAGUUAUGGUAACGCUAACAGUCAGUUGUUGCUGUUGGAUAUCACAACAAAUAUCAUGAAGAAUAAAAAGUUCAAUCACUUGUUCCAAUCUGUAUGGGACAAACAGAAAUUGAACAGGAGAGAAUCAAGGAACAAUAAAAGGGUGAGCUUUCCUAGUGGCAUACGUCUGCUGUUGAUAGUUUGGACAACAGUAGGGUUACGGACUGCCCCAGAUUGUCCUCUCAGCGGCCAAAAUAUCAUAAUAGAACAGACUUUUGGCAAUGUUACUGACAAAAAAAGGCAAAAAUGACUUGGUUGUGAACACCAAGAGCGCGAUACAUCUAUGCUGACACAGAAAGGCAGUAAUAACUUGGUUUUGAAAACCCAGAGCACAAUACAUCCAUGCUGACAC